UUCCUUUUUAUUGCCUCCAACCGGCUCUUCUCUUCUCCCUUCUCCUCCCUCCUCCGCCAGCAUUCUCCCUUGGCCGAUCUCCGUCCUCCCUCCUCCAAGAUUCGACAAGCAGGUGGGAUGCGAUCAUCGAGGCGACGACCACCUUGGACCCAUCUUCAACGAUGGGCACGGCGUUGGCAUUGCAGUUGGGCCUUCUAGCAGUGUGCACCGUCCUACCUCAAGAUCAUAACAAUGGCAUCUAGGUUGUUCUGGGCUUCGAGGGCCGCCUCCUACCUCAAGAUCUCCACCUUCCCUAGAGUCUUCUCCAUAGUUGAUGCCAUGACAGCAAUCAAGGAGCAGUAUCGGAUCCAGAGGAAUUGGAUGGGAGAUCCAUGCUCCCCUAUUGUUUUUGUUUGGGAUGGACUAACUUGUGAUUAUAGCUUGUCAAAUUCUCCAAGAGUCACUGCUUUUCAGUAUUGUUCUGUAGGAGUCUGUCAUCAAGUGGGCUGAUGGGGGAAAUAACCAAAUCUUUUGCUAGUCUUAGUGCACUUCAAAACUUGGACUUGUCUUAUAACAAUUUAACAAGGCCAAUACCUGAUGAUCUAGCAAACUUAAGUUCUCUCAAACUACUAUAAGCAUAAUUCUUAAAACCUCUUUCACUAUAUGGAAAAGGUAGAAAAUGUCUUAACAUUUCAUGAUUGUUUGCAGUGAUUUGACAGGCAACCGGUUAAAUGGAUCAAUUCCUUCAAACCUCCUUGAAAUGGCACAAAAUGGAUUGCUUACCUUAAGGCUCACCAAGAUCAACUGGCUCAAGUAGCUUGCGAAGCUUGUCCUUCGCCAGGAAUUGCCUCACCCACAUGUAACCCUCUAUUUGUAGUAAUUAGUAAAUUGUGAUGCAUUUCUGAUUACUAUAAUUGAUGCAUUUCUGAUUUCUGUUUAGCAAGAGUUGAUUUUUAACUUCUGAUUAGCACUAGUUGAUUCACAGAACUGGUUAUCACAUAACCAAUGGUACAGUGUUCAGUAGUUCUUAAUUGUUAGGUGAUACUUUUCUCUAUGAUAUUGCAUGUUUGAUUAUGCCAAAUUGGUUAUAUCUUAUUGCUAUAAUUAUUUUUUGUUAGAAUUGGAAGGUUGGUAUUGAAUGGAGGUAUCCAACUGAAGAUGGAUAGGUGGAUGUUUCAACUGAAGAUGGAUUGGUUUCACAUGUCAAUUAUCUUCAAAUCUAGAUAAUGUUGGGUUAACGUUUGUGUUAAUCAAUGUAUCUAUCAUUUUAGGAACUAUCUUCGAAUCUGGACAUGUUAAUUAUCUUCAAAUCUUGUUUGAAUCAUGUUGACAGUAGUAUCAUCAUUUUGGGAAUUAUGUAUUUGGUUUUGUAGGUGGAUACAGGACAGUCGAGAUCAGUACACUAAGGAGCGUUUGGAUUCAGUAAUUGAUGAGAAAUUGCUCAUAUUCUAAAUGUUUCAUUUUAGCUUUCUUUCUGCAAAUACUGUAUGCAUUUUAGAAUGGAGAAAUUGCAAGCUUUCUCUGCAUAUUGGAAACUACACAGUUUGAAGAAUGCAGUUUAGAAACUGCAUGCAUUUUAAAAUGCAUAUUAGAAACUGCAUGCAUUUUAGAAUGUAGUUUGAAGAAACAUUGCCUUUCUACAAGCCAAGCUUUCUUUCUGCAAGCUUUAUUUCUGCAGUUUGAAAAACGUUGCAUUUCUGCAACAACAGUGCUUUUUGCAAGAAAGCGUUUGCAGAGAAGAAAGCGUUUAAUUUCUGCAAGCUUUCUUUAUGUAGUUUGAAGAAACGUUGCAUUAUUUCUGCAAGCUUUCUUUCUUUCUUUCUGCAAGCAUUUCAUUUCUGAGUAAUGAGUUUUGGUCCAUUUAUAGAAAAUAACUAGUA